rnacentral:rRNA from 1 species
UACGUAGGGGGCAAGCGUUGUCCGGAUUUAUUGGGCGUAAAGAGCUCGUAGGCGGUUCCGUAAGUCGAGUGUGAAAAAUCUGGGCUCAACCCAGUGGAGCACUCGAUACUGCGGUGACUGGAGUACGGUAGAGGAGUGUGGAAUUCCUGGUGUAGCGGUGAAAUGCGUAGAUAUCUGGAGGAACACCGGUGGCGAAGGCGGCAUUCUGGACCGAUAUUGACGCUGAGGAGCGAAAGCCAGGGGAGCAAACGGG